rnacentral:rRNA from 1 species
CCUACGGGAGGCAGCAGUGGGGAAUCUUGCGCAAUGGCCGAGAGGCUGACGCAGCGACGCCGCGUGGGGGAUGAAGCAUUUCGGUGUGUAAACCCCUGUUGCUCGGGACGAACGACCCUUUUCGAGGGGUGUGACGGUACCGAGUGAGGAAGCACCGGCUAACUCCGUGCCAGCAGCCGCGGUAAUACGGAGGGUGCAAGCGUUGUCCGGAAUCACUGGGCGUAAAGGGCGCGUAGGUGGUUAGAUGCGCCGGUGGUGAAAGCGCAGGGCUCAACCCUGCGUCGGCCAUCGGGACGGUCUGACUGGAGCACUGUAGAGGCAGGUGGAAUUCCGGGUGUAGCGGUGGAAUGCGUAGAGAUCCGGAAGAACACCGGUGGCGGAGGCGGCCUGCUGGGCAGUUGCUGACACUGAGGCGCGACAGCGUGGGGAGCAAACAGGAUUAGAUACCCUGGUAGUCCACGCCGUAAACGAUGGGCACUAGGUGCUUGGGGGAGCGACCCCCUGNGUGCGCGCGUACGCAUAGUGCCCGCCGUCGGGAGGUACGACCGCGAGGUAGAACGACGAAGAGUAGUAGACGCGNGACGACGCGACGACGACGACGACGGAGGAGGAGG